rnacentral:rRNA from 1 species
CGGGCACCACUGAUGGAUGAGCCUGCGGCGCAUUAGCUAGUUGGUAGGGUAAAGGCCUACCAAGGCGACGAUGCGUAGCCGACCUGAGAGGGUGAACGGCCACACUGGGACUGAGACACGGCCCAGACUCCUACGGGAGGCAGCAGUAGGGAAUCUUCGGCAAUGGGCGAAAGCCUGACCGAGCAACGCCGCGUGAAUGAUGAAGGCCUUCGGGUUGUAAAAUUCUGUUAUAAGGGAAGAAUGGCUCUAGUAGGAAAUGGCUAGAGUGUGACGGUACCUUAUGAGAAAGCCACGGCUAACUACGUG